rnacentral:rRNA from 1 species
GAUGAACGCUGGCGGCGUGCCUAAUACAUGCAAGUCGAGCGAACGGACGAGAAGCUUGCUUCUCUGAUGUUAGCGGCGGACGGGUGAGUAACACGUGGAUAACCUACCUAUAAGACUGGGAUAACUUCGGGAAACCGGAGCUAAUACCGGAUAAUAUUUUGAACCGCAUGGUUCAAAAGUGAAAGACGGUCUUGCUGUCACUUAUAGAUGGAUCCGCGCUGCAUUAGCUAGUUGGUAAGGUAACGGCUUACCAAGGCAACGAUGCAUAGCCGACCUGAGAGCGUGAUCAGCCACACUGGAACUAGGACACGGUCCAGACUCCUACGGGAGGCAGCAGUAGGGAAUCUUCCGCAAUGGGCGAAAGCCUGACGGAACAACGCCGCGUGAGUGAUGAAGGUCUUCGGAUCGUAAAACUCUGUUAUUAGGGAAGAACAUAUGUGUAAGUAACUGUGCACAUCUUGACGGUACCUAAUCAGAAGGCCACGGCUAACUACGUG